rnacentral:rRNA from 1 species
UACGUAGGGGGCAAGCGUUAUCCGGAUUUACUGGGUGUAAAGGGAGCGUAGACGGUUACGCAAGUCUGGAGUGAAAGGCGGGGGCCCAACCCCCGGACUGCUUUGGAAACUGUAUAACUGGAGUGCAGGAGAGGUAAGUGGAAUUCCUAGUGUAGCGGUGAAAUGCGUAGAUAUUAGGAGGAACACCAGUGGCGAAGGCGGCCACCUGGACCGGUAUUGACGCUGAGGCGCGAAAGCGUGGGGAGCAAACAGG